GAAAGGCUGACUAAUACCGGCUAUAUGCUACCCUGUUGGGGGUAUCAGGAAAGGUGGCCUCUAUUUAUAAGCUAUCGCAUUGGGAUGAGUUUGCGUACCAUUAGCUAGUUGGUGGGGUAAUGGCCUACCAAGGCUUCGAUGGUUAGCGGGUCUGAGGGGAUGAUCCGUCACACUGGCACUGGAACACGGGCCAGACUCCUACGGGAGGCAGCAGUGAGGAAUAUUGCGCAAUGGGGGAAACCCUGACGCAGCGACGCCGCGUGAGUGAGGAAGGCCCUCGGGUCGUAAAGCUCUGUCAGCAGGGAAGAAGUGUAUAUCGGUUAAUACCCGUUAUAUUUGACGGUACCUGCAAAGGAAGCGCCGGCUAACUCCGUGCCAGCAGCCGCGGUAAUACGGAGGGUGCAAGCGUUGUUCGGAAUCACUGGGCGUAAAGGGCGCGCAGGCGGUUCUGCAAGUCAGAUGUGAAAGCCCACGGCUCAACCGUGGAAGUGCAUUUGAACUGCAGGACUUGAGUAUCAGAGGGGAAAGUGGAAUUCCCGGUGUAGAGGUGAAAUUCGUA
rnacentral:rRNA from 1 species